rnacentral:rRNA from 1 species
GUGUCAGCCGCCGCGGUAAUACAGAGGGAGCAAGCGUUGUUCGGAAUUACUGGGCGUAAAGGGCGCGUAGGCGGCUUAACAAGUCCCGUGUGAAAUCCCUCGGCUCAACUGAGGAACUGCACGGGAAACUGUUUGGCUUGAGUUCGGGAGAGGGAAGCGGAAUUCCGGGUGUAGCGGUGAAAUGCGUAGAUAUCCGGAGGAACACCGGUGGCGAAGGCGGCUUCCUGGACCGACACUGACGCUGAGGCGCGAAAGCUAGGGGAGCAAACGGGAUUAGAAACCCUGGUAGUCC